rnacentral:rRNA from 1 species
GAUGAACGCUGACGGCAUGCUUAACACAUGCAAGUCAACUGUGGCGGACGGGUGAGUAACGCGUAAAGAACUUGCCUAACAGCUAGGGACAACAUUUGGAAACGAAUGCUAAUACCUGAUACUGUGAGAGAGCUUUGCGUCCGAUUAGCUAGUUGGAGAGGUAACGGCUCACCAAGGCGAUGAUGGGUAGCCGGCCUGAGAGGGUGAUCGGCCACAAGGUGACUGAGACGCGGCCCUUACUCCUUCGGGAGGCAGCAGUGGGGACUAUUUGACAAUGGACCAAAGUCUGAUCCAGCAAUUCUGUGUGCACGAUGAAGUUUUCGGAAUGUAAAGUGCUUGCAUUUGGGAAGCGGUACCCACAGAAGAAGUGACGGCUAAAUACGUGCCAGCAGCCGCGGUAAUUC